rnacentral:rRNA from 3 species
CCGAACCGACUAAUGUUGAAAAAUUAGCGGAUGACCUGUGGCUGGGGGUGAAAGGCCAAUCAAACCGGGAGAUAGCUGGUUCUCCCCGAAAGCUAUUUAGGUAGCGCCUCGUGAAUUCAUCUCCGGGGGUAGAGCACUGUUUCGGCUAGGGGGCCAUCCCGGCUUACCAACCCGAUGCAAACUGCGAAUACCGGAGAAUGUUAUCACGGGAGACACACGGCGGGUGCUAACGUCCGUCGUGAAGAGGGAAACAACCCAGACCGCCAGCUAAGGUCCCAAAGUCAUGGUUAAGUGGGAAACGAUGUGGGAAGGCCCAGACAGCCAGGAUGUUGGCUUAGAAGCAGCCAUCAUUUAAAGAAAGCGUAAUAGCUCACUGGUCGAGUCGGCCUGCGCGGAAGAUGUAACGGGGCUAAACCAUGCACCGAAGCUGCGGCAGCGACACUGUGUGUUGUUGGGUAGGGGAGCGUUCUGUAAGCCUGUGAAGGUGUGUCGUGAGGCAUGCUGGAGGUAUCAGAAGUGCGAAUGCUGACAUAAGUAACGAUAAAGCGGGUGAAAAGCCCGCUCGCCGGAAGACCAAGGGUUCCUGUCCAACGUUAAUCGGGGCAGGGUGAGUCGACCCCUAAGGCGAGGCCGAAAGGCGUAGUCGAUGGGAAACGGGUUAAUAUUCCCGUACUUGGUGUUACUGCGAAGGGGGGACGGAGAAGGCUAUGUUGGCCGGGCGACGGUUGUCCCGGUUUAAGCGUGUAGGUGUGUGUUCCAGGUAAAUCCGGUUCACUUUAACACUGAGGCGUGACGACGAGGCACUACGGUGCUGAAGCAACAAAUGCCCUGCUUCCAGGAAAAGCCUCUAAGCAUCAGGUAACAUCAAAUCGUACCCCAAACCGACACAGGUGGUCAGGUAGAGAAUACCAAGGCGCUUGAGAGAACUCGGGUGAAGGAACUAGGCAAAAUGGUGCCGUAACUUCGGGAGAAGGCACGCUGACACGUAGGUGAAGUGAUUUACUCAUGGAGCUGAAGUCAGUCGAAGAUACCAGCUGGCUGCAACUGUUUAUUAAAAACACAGCACUGUGCAAACACGAAAGUGGACGUAUACGGUGUGACGCCUGCCCGGUGCCGGAAGGUUAAUUGAUGGGGUCAGCGCAAGCGAAGCUCCUGAUCGAAGCCCCGGUAAACGGCGGCCGUAACUAUAACGGUCCUAAGGUAGCGAAAUUCCUUGUCGGGUAAGUUCCGACCUGCACGAAUGGCGUAAUGAUGGCCAGGCUGUCUCCACCCGAGACUCAGUGAAAUUGAACUC